UUCAACUUGCUCCUACUUCUUAACAUCUGCAAAGAACGCGGGUCAGGAGUGCCCAAUGAAAGCUCUGACCUUGAAGGCCUAAAAGGUGGAACCAAGUGCAGGACAAUGGCUCCGGAUGGGGAAAGGCAAAUAGCCCAGCGGUUGAGGAAGUUGAAAACAAUGCAAGAUGCACAUUGCUGUAGCAAAGGUUGUUACAGCAGUACAAGAAGUUUUUCUAUACCAAAGGUAAGAGGUAUGAUGUCGUCUUGAACUUGCUGGAGGAAGCCACGUAUCAUAUGUGUGAAGACACCUUUUACAUUGUUAUUUCCUCACAUGUUUACCGUAGGUUACAUGGAUUCAUACGUCUCUUAUCACCAUAACCUCUUGAUAGCUCUUAGUGAGAGGACAGUUAUGACUCAUUCUUCAUGUUCUACAGUCAAACAAUGCAUCAGGGUUUUCAUAAAUACUAUAUAAAAAUUGCAUUGAGAUCAAUAGGCCUCUCCAUAUUUCCUGGUUGGAUGAAUCUGGGAUCACAAGACUUUUUACCCAGCAGUAAAUGCUCUGUAAGGAAUGGUACUGCAUUGGCAGAAAGACAGACUGAGAUGACUGAAUGGGGCUUUUCCAUCUCUAACUUCUAUGAUUUUAUGAUUCUGUGAAAUGAAUAUUAUCAUAACACUGACUAACAAAAUCCCAUCAUCAUGAUUUACUAUUAAUUAUCAACAUUAGCCUAUUAUUAAUUAACAUUUGCACCAUCUAUCACCAUCUAGCCAGACUGAUCAUUCACAAGCUUGCACAUAGAUUGUUUGAACAAAAGCUGCAGUAUGCCAUAGAAUAUGUUUCACAGUAGGUUUGUCAUAGCCUCAUCUGUAAGCUUUUUACUAAUGCACUUUACAAAGUAUCUUAUUAUACACGGAUGAGGAAUGUGGCUGCAUCCAGUAAUAAUUUCAUUAAUUAUGAAUAAAGCAUUUACAAAUGACACCCUUAUCUAAAAAUGGGGAUGAACUCAUUUUGUUUCAAUGCAGAUGCAAUAUGUCAUUUGUGAUCCCGUAGGAAGCACUGCUGGGAGAGCAGGCCAGCGAAAAGGUCUAGAAGCUGAUGAGAUUUACACCAUUAAAUAAAAAACAAACAAAAAGACCUCACUGGAGAAAAGAGCAGAGAAGUCGCAAAUGGCAUCAAAAUGAAACUGACCAAGUUCCAAGCUGGUGAAAGGAGGGAAUGUUUAAAGAUGCCAAGGGGCGUUGAAAAGCCCAGACUGGUCUCAGUCAAUGACCUUGGGCUAGGACUGAGGCCAAUAAAGCAGUAUCCUAAGUUGAUGACUAACUGGAAGGAUAUAGUUCCUCUAAGACACACCCAUCACCGUAAAGUCAGAUAACACAACUAUCAUUCAGGAAAGAGUUGGCAUAGAGAAAUACAAGCUGGUAAGAUGAAGAGAAGCACCAUUUUGUGUGGAUUACUUAUAAAAGGUUAGUAGCUCUUUCAAGAUUUUCAUAUCCAUUCCCAUUUUACAAAAUACAUUACAUUCUUUGUCCGCGCCACCAUGAAAAAGAACCGAUGCAAUUUUUGAAAAGAGCCGAAAAGAAAUACAACUGCUCCCAGAAAUUUCAUAUAGUGACACGCUGAGAGUAAUAUACUCCGCUUUGAGCUGAGAUCAGCUAUCUUUUACUACACUAACGGGCUGAGUAUGGGAAUACAUAUCAUGCCAGCCAGUUGUCCGUCGUGGCUAGAAACACUUGUCGAAGGUAUAAGAAAAACCUGUGGAUACUGAUUGUUGGAAAAUUCAGGACACUACAUAUGGAAAUUGGUAGCAAGCUUUCCUGAGCUCCAGGCAGUUUACGAAGGCUGCACAGCCUCAGCAUUUGUAAGGGGUUCAGAAAAUCUUGGUGUGUAUUCCUUUCUGCAGCGUCCCUGUAUCUGCACAGUUUGUGGCGGUGCUGAGUUCUACUUUGAACGGUAUUAAUUUGCUAUAAUUUUUCUACAGCCUUUCCUGCAACUGGAGAAAAUACCCAAAUUACCUUUUGUGUUUCCCCAGACAUGCCCAGUGCACCCGUUUCUAAAGAAGUUCUUUUGAAGAUCUGUGCAGAACAGCAAACAGCGGUUGUGCUGGAUCCCAAGCAGACAUUUGGAUCCAGGGGCCACAUUAUCCUGAAGUUCAGGGGGAUUUGGAUUCAGGGUUUUAGUUCUGGCCCUUCCCUAACAACAGAUAGGAAGCUUUGCCUUGGGCAGAGACAUUGGAGGCAGACAUUUCUAGUAAAUCCUGAUGCUGUGUGGCGGACAAGAAACAGGAGCACAUUACCCUCUAUGCCCCCACUUAAACAGGGGUAGGUUGUUUUGCAGGAGAUGCUUCUGGGUAGUGCAGAAAGUAGGCAGAAAAUGGUCCCUUUCCAUUUCACUUGCCUGGUUUGGACCCAGCCCAGGUGUUUGUGUUCAGCCCAAGCCGCUGCACUGCCCAAUCCUAUCGCCGCCAAGCAGCAACGGCAGACGCUCGCUACAGUGAGUAUCAUUCCUUAAAUAGACUGCAAUGAUGCUAAACGUAAGGAGAUUGCUUUUCAGUGAACCUGAUGAUAUGCAGGACUGGCCUAGAAAAAAGAAAGGGAGAGAAUCUAAAGUCUAAACAGAUCUGUAGUUUCUCUGCUAGUUCAGAGCGUAAUCAAUUUUCAGCCUUUGGAAACUAAAAUAGCUCUGAUUUAUAAAAUUCCACAGUUCUCUUCUUUUCUCAUUUGUGUCUCCAUUGCCUUAUGAAGAGCUCAGAAUGUUUGCACUUUGUGAUCCCCAUGUUGGUAUCCAUAAUAACAAAGCUUUGCACUCCCAUAGGACCUUCCAUCUGAGGAUUUCAAAGAUAUUGAAGAGAGGUGGGCCUGGGGACCUGACACGUGGGGAGGUUAAGUGACUUGCACAAGGUGACAGAACAAGUCUAUGGCAGAGAUAUUGGGAGAAAUCCUGGCCCUGUUGAAGACAAUGGCAAAACUCCUAUUAACUUUAAUGGAGCCAGGCUUCCACCCGUAGAACAUAAGUGUGAAAUUAAAUGUGUGGUGUUUGUGUCAGUGCAGUGCUAUGUUAACAAACCAUGAGAAGCAGCUUGGCCUACAAGAGUGAGUUCUGCUUCUUGCUCUGUGAUCUUGUGGGCAUCUCACUUUAUCUCUGCCUCAAUUUCUCCAGCUAAUAAUAAUUAUCUACCUACUUCACAGGGGUGUUUCAAGCCAGCGUUGGUCCUGGACUUUGAGAGCUGUAUACAUACUAAGUCUCAUUAUGUCGCUUUUCACAACUGAGAGGAAUAUUCCCUCAUAGUUAUGGUUAAACAAUGAAGGUCAAGCAACCUUGAUUUGUUUUGAUUAUUGUAAACUAUCAUGAAAUAUCAAUUUACUUUGUGAAUGUUGGUUUCACAAACUCCAUGUUUGGAGUGCCUGGGAAGAAAUAGUCUCCCGAUGAUGAAGAAUACACUUUCAUUUCUGCAGUUCUGUGUUUCUCACAUGACAAAGAGAAACUGUAUAUGAAGCCCAGUUCUUUGUUGCCUCUAUGGAAAUAAAGGAAAUGUAUUGUCAGUUUCUUUAUUUCUGAUCCCAGUUUAACCCGUCAAUCAUCUGACUUGGAUCAAAGAAGUCACCUUAAAUAGGUAUGAAUGGAGACUUCUGAUUUAUCUUUAUUAUAGGAGCUAAAUAAAUGGCUUGUUUGUGCUUGUAAAUCAUAACAUUUCUAAAUAUAUUAGUCUCUCAGCCAACCUGCUGACUAAUAUAAUGUCUAUUUGUAUGGAUUUUUUUCCUUUUCAGUUUACUUUGGUAUUGACUUAUUUCAAAUCAUAAUGCACAAAAUCACAGACUCUAAAUAGACGGGUUGAACACGGUGAUUAAUGAAAAUAUAAUCCCAGCUACUGUACAGCCAUCAGAAACCAGUUAGCUAAUUAGAGUAAUCACAGAGGUGGAAAUAAUUAAAAGAACAUAAAAUAGAGGUGGAGUAAUAACAACAUUUUCCUUAGUGACUUAAAACUGGCGAGCAAACGAUUAAACUAUAAUCAGUUUACUGAGGGGGGUAGGAAUAAAUGAAGAGUGGAUAGCAAAGGAUUUAUGAGUAGCUACAGCAAAUAAGGACCAUUAGACUGCAUCAGAGAACGUAAGCAGAGUGGACUAGAGAGACUGCAACGAGAUACAGUAGAAGGAAUAAUUGUACCAAGGACUGUUGGUGACCACUGAAAAUGCAUCAUUAAUAUAUAAUCUUUGCCUUUGUAUCUGUUAUAUAGCCUCUUCCAUCUAAGCUCAGUGGGCUUUAUAAAUAUGAAUUAAUUCAGCCUCAUAGGAAGUAUUAUUGUCCCCAUUUACACAUGUGGAAACUGAGUACUGAGUGGUUAAGUGACUUGCCCGAGGACUUUUGUAGUUUGUCAUCACCGAAAGCUCUGUAUAGACAGAAUUGUUCGUCGUAUUUAGUGGCUAGUAGAGGCCCUAAAUGUGAUGAGGCCAUUAUGAUAGGCACUGUACAAACACUUAGGCCUGGUCUAUGUCUAAAACUUUAGUCAACCUAGCUACGUUGCUCAGGACUUUGAAAAAUAUCAUGCCCUGAUAUUACCACCCAACCCCCAGUGUAACCCCCAACUUCUCAAGGGAGUAGAUUUUCUACAGCCCUUCCAUGACUGGAGUACUGCCGUGCUGCUGUAGCGCAGACAUUCCUGCACUGAAG